rnacentral:piRNA from 1 species
UGCGGUACUUGUCUUUCUGUGUCUGGCCU